AGGACAAACACAGCAAAGCCUUGUAUGUAAAUUAAUGGAUUUGAGUAAUAAAUACACUGUUAAUCUGUUAUGAAUAUUUUAUAACUAGUUAAUAAUUGUAUUAAUAUUAUAAUAUAUUGGUUAGUAUUGUUUACCUGUAACACAUUCAAAAAAAAUAGAAACGCCAGUAAAGCCAAUGCUGAAGAUGUUGACGUCGACAACCGUCGUGUGCUUUGAUUUUGUUUUCUAUGUUACACAAAUGAC